UAAUACAGUAUCCGUCAAAUCCCAACUCCAAUGGGCAUAACCUCCAUGUGUUAUCUUCCUGGUAGGCAUCUCCUCUCCAUCACGGGUUGACAUCCUCCUUCGCUGCUAUUAGCCUUUUUGUGGUGAAUUAGUUUUCAUACGGGAAAAUCAAGUAGAGAUGAUGACUUGCUGGCGCUACUCCAAGGAUGGUGUAACCACUGCAGCCAUGGAAAUUUUGUUGCGUGGACUCAGAGGUAGGCUUCUCUCAGCCACACACGUCUCCUUGCUGGACUGACACAUGAUCAUCGAGAUUAGAGUCCCAUCCUCCCACAUCCAUGCUGCAAUCAAUCUAGGAAACAUGGUACGAUCUAGCCUCUCAGGCUCCUAUGAACCUAUUUUUUCUCAAUCUUAUGAUUCUUGAAUCCCAUCAACUCCCAUGUUUUGACCACUCAUCCAGCAUCUAUUAAGAUGAAUUACACCACGAGAACUGAUGCCCCAG
rnacentral:lncRNA from 1 species